rnacentral:rRNA from 1 species
CCAUCGGUAUUCCUCCACAUCUCUACGCAUUUCACUGCUACACGUGGAAUUCUACCCCCCUCUUCUACACUCUAGCUCGACAGUUUCCAACGCAGUUCCCAGGUUGAGCCCGGGGAUUUCACAUCAGACUUAUCGAACCGCCUGCGCACGCUUUACGCCCAGUAAUUCCGAUUAACGCUCGCACCCUACGUAUUACCGCGGCUGCUGGCACGUAGUUAGCCGGUGCUUCUUAUCAAGGUACCGUCAGCCUCAUCUAGUAUUAGUAGAUAAGUUUUCUUUCCUUGCGAAAGAGCUUUACAACCCGAAGGCCUUCUUCACUCACGCGGAAUGGCUGGAUCAGGGUUUCCCCCAUUGUCCAAAAUUCCCCACUGCUGCCUCCCGUAGGAGUCUGGGCCGUGUCUCAGUCCCAGUGUGGCUGGUCGUCCUCUCAGACCAGCUACGGAUCGUCGCCUUGGUGGGCCUUUACCCCACCAACUAGCUAAUCCGGCAUCGGCCGCUCCAAUAACGCGAGGUCUUACGAUCCCCCGCUUUCCCCCUCAGGGCGUAUGCGGUAUUAGCACAUCUUUCGAUGUGUUAUCCCCCAUUACUGGGUACGUUCCGGUGCAUUACUCACCCGUUCGCCACUCGCCACCAGGUGCAAGCACCCGUGCUGCCGUUCGACUUGCAUGUGUAAAGCAUUCCGCCAGCGUUCAAUCUGAGCCAGGAUCAAACUC